rnacentral:misc_RNA from 1 species
UAUCUAGAAUUCAAAUAAACUUGCUCGGUUGUUGACAUGCCUGUCUCCCCUAGGAGAUGCGAGGUCACUCAUUACGAAUAUUCUUUCAACAAUCUAAUACAUUAAUUAAUAGUUUAGCAGCUAAUAAUCACAUUUUCAGAGAAGCGUGCGUUCAAUAAUGUUAAGUAUAGAAUCAGAAACCUUCUACACUUACAAGAUCAACUUUAUAAUGGGGCUUCGACAAAUAUAUAUACAACGGGACAGGGGAAGAUGCCAAGUCAAUUUGUCAUUUACCUAGUCUGACAAUAAGAUUGACUCCUUUAUUUCUAACCACACAAUUUUACAAUGCGUUCAAUCGAGCUUCACCAAGGCAAUGCAACAAUACAAUUAAAUCCAGUUGGUCACUCAUCACUUCACGUGGGCCCAAGUUCAAGCUUUGGUUGUACCAGAAGAAGGGGAGACUAAAACAUAAACCUUGCUACUUACACCCAGAUCAGUGCAUUUGAUCCACACAGCAUUGAAUACACACAUAUUUCAUACACAGAAUGCGAGCAGAAGAAUUAAACACCGGUUCUCCGUUGUUUUCCUAAAUGAAAUGAAUGCCGCUUUCAUCAUCAGGUUAAUACCAACUCAGACCGUCUCAUCUAAUAAUCUUUAAAGGUUAUUUUAACUCUCAGAAAUUAAAGAUCCAAGAACUCAAUGGUAUAGCACUCAGAUGUAUCUAUUAAUACAUGAAAAACACAGUAUUGCAAGAGAGAAAGGGAGAAGGGUACAAAAACUAACAGUAAGCGUUGGGCAAUGUGCAUCUGUACUUCAACUUCUAAUGAACUAUGCUAAAAUCUAAUUUAAACCUUUGGUGUCAGAAGCACCUACUUGCAUCUCUCAGCUCACCAAAUUAGCAGGGGAGCUCAACAGGCACUGCCAUCCAUUUGCCCUAGACAACAUGCAUCUUAGAAACCAAAGAAGCCAAGUUCACUGGCUCUUUCCUUCUCAAAAGUCUCGAAGUACUGAUAUAUAAU